GACGAACGCUGGCGGCAUGCCUAAUACAUGCAAGUCGAACGAAGCACUUGUGCUUAGUGGCGAACGGGUGAGUAAUACGUAAGCAACCUGCCCUAAACACGGGGAUAACUACUGGAAACGGUAGCUAAUACCCGAUAGGUCAUAAAGUGGCAUCACUUAAUGAUUAAAGGUCCCUUCAAGGACCAGUUUGGGAUGGGCUUAUGGCGCAUUAGCUAGUUGGUGAGGUAACGGCUCACCAAGGCGAUGAUGCGUAGCCGACCUGAGAGGGUGAUCGGCCACAUUGGGACUGAGACACGGCCCAAACUCCUACGGGAGGCAGCAGUAGGGAAUAUUGGGCAAUGGGCGCAAGCCUGACCCAGCAACGCCGCGUGAAGGAAGAAGGCUUUCGGGUUGUAAACUUCUUUGACCAGGGAAGAAACAAAUGACGGUACCUGGAAAACAAGCCACGGCUAACUACGUGCCAGCCGCCGCCG
rnacentral:rRNA from 1 species